rnacentral:lncRNA from 1 species
GUUGAGCACUAUAUAUAUAUAUAUAUCAGGGCUGCUGUGCUCUCAGGAGCACGGAGGCCUCCGUGUUCCUGAGCUGUUUUGGAUAAUGGAAUUUUCGAAUCGACGAUCAGCUCCAUUAGACUUGAUCUAGGGUAUUUGAAGUUUCUAAAAAAUAAUUUUUGCGAUUUUUUGAUAUCAUUUACCUAGUGAUCGAAAUGAUUCAAAAUCAAUAAUUUUUAAUGGUUGAUAUCUGUCGUUUUCAAGUUUAACGGUGUAGAAGUAUUCAAAUCAGAUAAAAUUUUGAUACAAAAUUCUUUAUACUAUCUACAACAAGAUUAAUAUUUCUGAUCGAAAAUUUUAGUGUUAUAUGACCACUUUUUAUAGAAUUUUUAUUUUCAGCCGUUAAAAAUUAUUGAUUUUGAAUCCUUUUGAUUGCUAGGUAAAUGAUAUCGAAAAAUUACAAAAAUUAUUUUUUAGAAACUUCAAAUGCGCUAGAUUAAGUCUAACAGAGCCGAUCGUCAAUUCAAAAUUUUCAUCAUCGAAAACGGCUCAGGAGCACGAAGGCCUCCGCCGUGCUCCUGAGAGCACAACAACCCUGCUCUCUCUCUCUCUCUCUCUCUCUCUAUAUAUAUAUAUAUAUAUUGGCCAAUUUGCAUAAAAAAUCCACUAAUUUUGGGCUUUUGCAAAAGUGGGCCACCUUUUUUAUUUUUGCAGAUUCGGUCCAAAUUUUCAGCAAACUGACCAAAAUAUCCUUAUUACUUUUUCUCUUUCCUCUUUCUCUCUCCUAUUCUUUUCUCUCGUUCAUUUUUUUUUUCUCUCACCAAAGAGGCAGCGGGCACAUAGACGGAAGCGAAAACGGCCCGUCUUGCCUCUUACCCUCAUGCUCUCGCCCUCGCCCUCGCCCUCGCCCUCACCCCCGCACCGCCCACCUUCCUCUCCUCCGACCCCACUAAGGCCGUGCUGCGACUUUUUUUUUUUUCCUCUCCUACUCUCAUCCACCGUCUCCGACGACGACGCCUCUCGCGCCCUUCCCCGCCCUUCUCGUCCUCUCCCUCUCCCUCCUCCUCUGCCGCCUUCGACGAUCUUCGCUGACGCCGACACCGUGGAGGUCGCUGCGGCGCUGCAGCCUCG